UACGGGGGGGGCAAGCGUUGUUCGGAAUUAUUGGGCGUAAAGAGCUCGUAGGCGGUCUGUCGCGUCUGCUGUGAAAACUCAGGGCUUAACCCUGAGCUUGCAGUGGGUACGGGCAGACUAGAGUGCGGUAGGGGAGACUGGAAUUCCUGGUGUAGCGGUGAAAUGCGCAGAUAUCAGGAGGAACACCGGUGGCGAAGGCGGGUCUCUGGGCCGUAACUGACGCUGAGGAGCGAAAGCAUGGGGAGCGAACAGG
rnacentral:rRNA from 1 species